UACGAAGGGUGCUAGCGUUGUUCGGAAUUACUGGGCGUAAAGCGCGCGUAGGCGGUAAUGCAAGUCAGGGGUGAAAUCCCGGAGCUUAACUCCGGAACUGCCUUUGAAACUGCAUUGCUGGAGUGUGUGAGGGGAUAGCGGAAUUCCUAAUGUAGAGGUGAAAUUCGUAGAUAUUAGGAGGAACACCGGUGGCGAAGGCGGCUAUCUGGCACACAACUGACGCUGAGGCGCGAAAGCGUGGGGAUCAAACAGG
rnacentral:rRNA from 1 species